UAACAAGGAUUCCCCUAGUAACUGCGAGUGAAGCGGGAAAAGCUCAAAUUUAAAAUCUGGCAGUCUUUUUUUGGCUGUCCGAAUUGUAGUCUGGAGAAGUGCUUUCCGCGCUGGACCGUGUACAAGUCUCUUGGAACAGAGCGUCAUAGAGGGUGAGAAUCCCGUCUUUGACACGGACAAUCAGUGCUUUGUGAUGUGCUCUCAAAGAGUCGAGUUGUUUGGGAAUGCAGCUCAAAAUGGGUGGUAAAUUCCAUCUAAAGCUAAAUAUUGGCGAGAGACCGAUAGCGAACAAGUACCGUGAGGGAAAGAUGAAAAGCACUUUGGAAAGAGAGUUAAACAGUACGUGAAAUUGCUGAAAGGGAAACGCUUGAAGUCAGUCGCGUUGGCCAGAACUCAGCCUUGCUUUUUUGCUUGGUGCACUUUCUGGUUGACGGGCCAGCAUCAAUUUUGACUGCUGGAUAAAGGUUGGGGGAAUGUGGCACCUUAGGGUGUGUUAUAGCCCUCAGUCCGCAUACAGUGGUUGGGAUUGGGGAUCUCAGUACGCCUUUAAGGCAAGGGGCUUUAAUUUCCCUAUGCUCGUGCUUAGGAUGCUGGCAU
rnacentral:rRNA from 1 species